rnacentral:rRNA from 1 species
UACGUAGGGUCCGAGCGUUGUCCGGAAUUACUGGGCGUAAAGCGUGCGUAGGCGGUUUUGUAAGCCAGGGGUGAAAUCCCCGGGCUCAACCUGGGAAUGGCAUUUGGGACUGCAAGGCUGGAGUGCGGCAGAGGAGACUGGAAUUCCUGGUGUAGCAGUGAAAUGCGUAGAUAUCAGGAGGAACACCGAUGGCGAAGGCAGGUCUCUGGGCUGACACUGACGCUCAUGCACGAAAGCGUGGGGAGCAAACAGG